UAAAAGCUCUUUGUACAGUUCGUGCGAAAAAAAAUGUGUUGACUUCAGUUAGUUAAAUUUGGUGCUAGUGAAUUUGCUCAGAGAGUUCUUUCGCAGUUCACAGUUUCGAAAAGACAGGCCCGAUCUUUCUUUCGAAGAAGUAACUAUGGGGGUCUCGAACAUAUUUUCUGUGGGAACAUCAACUGUGGCGAAAAUUUUAUCAACAGGGGACCAGAAUUUAAAAACAUCACUAUCUGGCAAGCGAAAACCAACGGAUUUAUUUACAAAUUAUAUGUUUCGGAAAGACCUGCAACGACAAAUUUGGCGACUUGGUGAAAAAAACGAAUAUUUCACUGUAGAUACUCUUUUAGCAUAUUCUAGGGAACAGUUGGAAUUUAAAGGGGGGCGAACCACAUUAUACAAAAUUGUUAAGUCAAUGGGUUAUAAACACAGGGAAGUAAAUGGUCGCAAAAUUCUAUGUGAACAAAAACAUGUCGUUGCAGCCAAAAUUACUUUUUUGAGAACAUAUUUACAGUUUCUAAAUUCUUGUGAAAAUUUGACUUUCGUGUAUUUGGAUGAAACAUGGAUCUAUCAAAAUGGUUCGUCCAUUCGUCGUUGGGUUCACGAUACUUAUUUAAAAAGCAAUCCCACCAAAAUUAAAAGUGAAGGAUCAAGGUUUACUAUUCUCCUGGCGGGUUGUUCAACGGGGUUCUUGGAUGGUUGUAAGAAUUUUUUAAAUUCAAAAAAUAAUCAUAAAACGAUGGACGGGACAAUUUUUCAAAAUUGGGUGGUUAAUCAGCUCAUUCCUGCUUUGGCAAAGUUGAACCAAAAAUGUGUGGUGGUUUUAGAUAAUGCACCGUAUCAUUCGGUUCAGUUGGAUAAACCACCCACUUUUUCUAGUAAAAAAUGUGAAAUGCAGGAAUGGCUCUUUAAACAUAGUGUUGAAUUUGACAAAAAAUUUUCGAAGAAACAGUUGUGGGAUUUAAUUAAAUCCGUCAGGAACAAUAGAAAAAAAAGAUAUUUGGUAGACGAGACAUUAAGAGAAAGUGGCCAUGAAGUUCUAAGAUUACCUCCGUGCCAUUGUCAAUAUAAUCCAAUUGAAAUGGCGUGGGGAUUUUGAACUAUUACAACAAGCAUAUAAAUUCUCAGCCUUCAUUAAAAAAUAGGGUGGAGAAUUUAUGGCUUGAUGCGCUUUUUAAAUGUAGGGGAACGAGGGGCUUGUUGUAACAGUUUUUAGGAAAACGAAUAUAAUUUGGUAUCUAUUAGCUGUUUGACCAUUAUAAAAGUAUCUAUCGGUAGUCUAACUAUUCCCCUAUUGGACUGAACAGGCAAAAGGUCAAAAUUGUUCAUCUUCACUUCACACCAGGCAUGUUCUUAAAAAAAGUGCUUUGUUACAACUUGCCCCGUGGUUGGGGCUAGUUGUAACAGCCAUGAGACAGGUAGUACCAGUAAAAAUAAAGCUGAUGUUGAUACAUAUUUAGACUUUAUUUUUCAAAAAUCAACACAACACUUCAUUAUAUACAAUUUUUUUUCAGUAAAACUGAAAUAAACUUUUAGAAAAAGAGUCAACAUUAAAAAUUUGAGUGUUGUCUUCCUUUUUCUUAAUAUAUCUGGAAAGCGAUAUAUGGCAUAGGUCAAAAUUUUGGCUCGCUUUUCGUAUGCUAGGUACGAGAUUUGUAGAAGUGAAUUUGGGAUAAGUUGUAACAUGUUACAACUUGCCCCGUAGCACAAUUUUCUACAUUUAAUUAGAUUUCGACAAAAUUAUUUCGCUUAGCUUCAAAAUGUGUAAGAAAUAUCAAAGCUGAGUAAUUUUUGCGCUACAUGCAAAACUAAAAGUUUUAAAUUAAUUAAUAACUGAUACGAAAAACCAAAUUUUACUAAAGCAAUAUUUUACAUAACUUGACCAAAACGAAACACGUGCACACAUCCACUCACUGCGCUGGCUCAAGGAACAGUGGUUGUGAUGACAUGAUGUCUUAUGGUGCAAGAAUUAAAUUCAGUAAAAUACCUGACGUUAAAGAGUUUAAAUUGUGGGUAAAAAUUUAGUGUUACAACUUACCCCUGUUACAACAAGCCCCUAGUUCUCCUACUCCAAGCAUGUGGCAAAAUUUUUGUAAACAUUGUGAAAAACAUAUUUUGGCAGAUUGGGAAAAAAUAUGGGAAAUCUUUCUUACGAAUCUAUACUUCCUUUCAUUAUUUCGCUAGGUGAAUCUGAUUCAGAAUCUGAAUUUGAAAAUGACGGUGAUGAUACAGAUUUUCAUAGCGAAAUAAUGGAAAUGGAGUGAAUUGUAGCUUGUCGGGGAGUGAUAUUUUUACGCAUCUUUCGUUCUAAAUUUAUCAAGGUAGUAUGUGAAAAACUACCUGACGUACAACAAAAUAAGUAUAAUUUUAGUUAGAUCAUCCACGUUGUUACUUUGCACCAAAUUUUAAGCAUUUUCAUUUUUUUUUUUGUAACUCUUCAUGGACCUGGAGAAGGCGUAUAGUAACGUUCUUAUUAAUAAGCGUUUGGAAGUACCUAGUAAAAGCAAAUAAAGAGCACUUACGUAAGCAUUAGUAAUAGCUAUAUAGAUAAAUCAUGUUUCAGAAGAGCUAAACCCAUCAAAGCACUAGAGCAAGGUUGUUGUCUUUUAGCAACCCUUUUAGUAAUCUUAGAAAAGUGAAAAAAGAAGUUGGAAGAUAUGGAAAUAGGCUGCUCACGAAGGUCGAAAUUUCCAUUUCUAAGAAGAGUGGGCGAGCAGAACGAACUGAUGAUUGAGAAUUAAAGAUGAGAUGCUAAAUGUGGCAUGCAACAAUAGUCGUAUGUAGAACCCCCAUUCAUAUAAAAACAAUGUUUAAGGGUCCCCAGUCGUCGCCCGCAAAAUCGGUUUCAAUGAGAAGAAUUUUUUGUAACUAUGCAACCCAAAGUACCGAUCCACGGCAGGUAGCGACCCAAGAGAGGAGAGAUUAUGGCCACUGUAGGGAGUCCGUCAUAAAAUGCAAAUCGUUAAACAACACCAGAUAAGCUUAUUUAUUUUCGAAUGAAGGGUACAGGGAAAUAACCAUCG